rnacentral:rRNA from 1 species
ACGAACGCUGGCGGCGUGCUUAACACAUGCAAGUCGAGCGGUAAGGCUCCUCUUUUGGGGGGUACACGAGCGGCGAACGGGUGAGUAACACGUGAGUAAUCUGCCCUUCACUCUGGGAUAAGCACCGGAAACGGUGUCUAAUACCGGAUACGACCAUUCCUCGCAUGAGGUGGUGGUGGAAAGUUUUUCGGUGGGGGAUGUGCUCGCGGCCUAUCAGCUUGAUGGUGGGGUAAUGGCCUACCAUGGCGUCGACGGGUAGCCGGCCUGAGAGGGUGACCGGUCACACUGGGACUGAGACACGGCCCAGACUCCUACGGGAGGCAGCAGUGGGGAAUAUUGGACAAUGGGCGGAAGCCUGAUCCAGCAACGCCGCGUGAGGGAUGACGGCCUUCGGGUUGUAAACCUCUUUCAUCACCGACGAAGCCGUAAGGUGACGGUAGGUGGAGAAGAAGCACCGGCCAACUACGU